UAUAGAGAGAUAAGGCUAGAGAUGGGCAAAAGCAAGAAAAACCGAGAAAAAGAGAAGGAAAAGAGGAAAGAAAAGGAGAAAAAUGAAGGAAAAGAAGAAGAAGAAGAAGAAGAAGAAGUGGGUCUUCAAGCUUGGAUUCUCCAUUUCUCCACUGAUUUAGAGAGGUGGGUGUAAGUAGGAUGAAUUAUCUUUUUGAGUUUAUGGAGAUUUUCUCAAAUUUAAGGUUUAGCAAAAUUAAAGAUUGUUGAUAUAUGUUUGAGGCAUUAAAAAUAACAAUAAUAUUAGUGUUGAAAGGAAGGAAAUGUGAAAUGUGUUUGUAAAUUAGAGUUUCAAUCUUUGAAUUAUUGUGUUUAUAUGAUAUAAAACACUUGAUUUAUGAUGAAUUAGAUUGGUAAAAGAAUUUUAGGUUAGAUUUUGGUAUUUAUAAUAAAUUUUUGAGCAAAAUUCACGUGCAAGUGCCAUUCCUGAAAUUCUACCAGAAAAGUGCUAUUUCUCUCAAUUGUUUUGAUGCCAGAUUUCAAUAUAUAGAAAUUGGUGCCAGAUCUAUAUUCUGGAAUUUUAGUGCUAUUUUUGUUAAACCUUGAAUUUCUAGAGUUUUAAAGGUUUGAAUGAAUUUAUAUGACAAAUAUUGAAGUCUAUGUAUUGGACUAACUAUGUAUAGGGAUUGUAUAUGUAAAAGGUUGUGAUUUUAAGGAAGUGUGAGUGGUAUAAUGGAUUUGAUAGUGUAUGAUGAUUAGUUGAUAAAUCAUUAAAGAGAAGAAAAGUUGGGGAAUUGGAAAUGUAAGAUUAAAUAUAAAAGUUGAGAAGUUAAGUUGUGGAUUUGUAUUAAUUUAAUUGAUAGGUUUUAAUUCGAGAAAUUCUACCGUUAUUUCAGGUAGGGACGUGGAAGCUCGGAAAGACUCAUCAAUUUAAUCAGAUUUCUAUCAAUAUAUCUGUGAGUGGAAAAAUAUAAAUAUUUUAAAGUAUUUAUAAAUUAAGAAUAUUACCAAAGUAUGUGCAAUUAUAUGAAUUAAUUGCUCCAUUAUGUGAUUACGAUGAAAGUUUCUAUUAUUAGGAUCCAUGCGGAAUUUCAAGGAUUAUUUGUGAUAUUGAGAAUUGUUUGGUAUGUAAGAUAUUUGAUAUUGAGGUCGACAAGAAAAGUACUCAUGAUUAUAUAUUUCUUCUAGUUCACUGAGAAGCUUUGGGCAUGUUCUAUAUUACAGUGAGGGGUCUUGGACCGGGUUGAAGGGGUCUUGAUCGUGUACAUAUAGUAAACUGAGUGGCCUUGAUCGUGUUCUAGAAUUGAUUAUCCUCUUGAGACCGACUUUCAUUCACGGAGAGGGCCAAAGGCGCGUGACGAAAGUUCUUAGCCCAAGGAGUGGAUUAAAAAUUUUAGGCAGGUGGUACAUUUUUUGUGAAUUUUUCAAUACAUUUAAUGUGAUGAGAAUAUAACAUGAUUACUAGCUUAUGUUUAUUUCAUGACUUGAGAUGAUAUUUCACCACGUUGUGUGAAUGUUUUACGUUUUGGUUAUAGUUAUAUGAUGUUAUCUUGUGAACUAUUCAAUGAUAUGAACUCAAUUUUCAAUAAAAAUGUAAAAUUGAAAAAUUAUAAUUAUUUUCGAACUUCUCCACUCACUAAACUAUCAACUCAUAUAUUUUCC
rnacentral:lncRNA from 1 species